GAAGAAAGAAGAGAAAGAAGAGAAGAAAGAAGAAGAAGAAGAGCUAUUGCUGUAUGUUUGUCUCUUUUCUUUCAACAAAUGAGAAAUUUCAUAACAUUUCUUUCUGUCAAU
rnacentral:ribozyme from 12 species